AUAAAUUUGCCUUUAGUUUCACUUUUGCAAUACGAGCAGCGGCGCUUGCAUUCAUGCUCUUUGUUUCAUUCAUAGAUUUGCUCACACAUAUUACUCAUGAUUGAAUUAGUUUUGAUAUAUCUAUAAAGAGGCAACGAAGCUUGAUUCAUGGACUAUCGUUUCAGGAUUGGUCGAGUGGAAAUCAUUGGUGUGGUCUUGCACUAUGAUGACCUACCUGUUAUGAUUUGUUUUAGUGUCCACUUUUAUGAUCUCCAAAAUAAAUCUUCGGUGGGUGUGAUUUCUUUGAUCAAACAUGAUAAAAUGAGUCUUGCUGCUAUCUCGCAAGUCUUGUUAGACAUCACUCAAGAAAUGUCGGUUAUUGGGUUAAUGUCUGAUGAGAUUAUGGAAAACAUCUUAUGUAACCUUCCAAUAAAAGAAGCUUUUGAGGCAAGUGUACUACCUAAGAGAUAGGUAAAUCAAUGGAUGGGUAUCAACAAAAUUCUUUUGGAAUCAAUGAAGCAACACACGAGAAGAGGAAACAAGAACAUAUCAAUGUUAUUCUCUUGUUGGAGCUGAUUUAAUCUUUACAAACUAAUACUUCUUUUGGAGCUGCUUUUGUUGAUGCACUUGUUGGAACUAUUGUUAUUUUUUUGGGAAUUGUUGUUAAUGAUAUUGAGAGUGGCCUCUAUCGAAAUGAUAAUCUUGGAUUAGGUUCUAAAGAAUUUGUUAGCAUGUAAUCGAGGUUUCACAAAAGAGUAAAAUCGAUGUUGAUUACUUUUGUAUGAUCUCAUAUACAUUACAGGACAAAAUUUUAUAUUCUUUGCAGUGGUGUUGUUAAUUAGU